GCUGAUGGGUAAUACGGAGCUUUCUAGCGUUGUUCGGAAUUAUUGGUCGUAAGGGAUGCAGGCGGUUCGGUAAGCUAAAGCCGAAAGCCAGGCUUAACCCUGAAGCUGCUUUUAAUACUGCCAGACUCGAGUCCGGGAGAGGAUAGCGGAAUUCCUAGUGUGAGGUGAAAUUCGUAGAUAUUAGGAGGAACACCAGUGGCGAAGGCGGCUAUCUGGUCCGGUACUGACGCUGAGUGCGAAAGCGUGGGGAGCAAACAGGAUUAGAUACCCUGGUAGUCCACGCUGUAAACA
rnacentral:rRNA from 1 species